rnacentral:rRNA from 1 species
GAUUAAGUGUCGUAAGGGCAUUUGGUGGAUGCCUUGGCAUGCACAGGCGAUGAAGGACGUGAUACGCUGCGAUAAGCCGUGGGGAGCUGCGAAUGAGCUUUGAUCCAUGGAUCUCCGAAUGGGGCAACCCACCUUAGAUACUUGGAAAAUCUGUUUGGUUGUCGGAUCUUCGAUCCGACGUUACGGCGAACGAUCGCCGACGGCCUCUGGCCUGUAUGGGAACUUCCCAAUACAGCGCGGAGCGCGUCGCCGGUCGUCUGGCGCGCCCACGCAGCGCCGCACGGAACGUGCGGAACAAGCGUGAGUGAGGACCAAACAGGUUUCCAAGUAUCGUUAAUAAGGUAUCUUACCUUCGAAUACAUAGGGGUAAGAAGCGAACGCAGGGAACUGAAACAUCUAAGUACCUGCAGGAAAGGACAUCAACCGAGACUCCGCAAGUAGUGGCGAGCGAACGCGGACCAGGCCAGUGGCAAUGAGGAAUAAAGCGGAACCAUCUGGAAAGUUGGGCCGUAGCGGGUGACAGCCCCGUACGCGUAGAACACUCAUUGUCCUAGAGUAGGGCGGGACACGAGAAAUCCUGUCUGAACAUGGGGAGACCACUCUCCAAGCCUAAGUACUCGUGCAUGACCGAUAGCGAACAAGUACCGUGAGGGAAAGGUGAAAAGCACCCCGACAAGGGGAGUGAAAUAGAACCUGAAACCGGAUGCCUACAAACAGUCGGAGCCUGAAAGGGUGACGGCGUACCUUUUGUAUAAUGGGUCAACGACUUAGUGUAACAAGCAAGCUUAAGCCGGUAGGUGUAGGCGUAGCGAAAGCGAGUCUGAAUAGGGCGAUUGAGUUUGUUGCAUUAGACCCGAAACCGAGUGAUCUAGCCAUGAGCAGGUUGAAGGUUGGGUAACACCAACUGGAGGACCGAACCCGCAUCUGUUGCAAUAGAUUGGGAUGACUUGUGGCUAGGGGUGAAAGGCCAAUCAAACUCGGAAAUAGCUGGUUCUCCGCGAAAUCUAUUUAGGUAGAGCGUCGAGCGAAUACCCCCGGGGGUAGAGCACUGGAUGGGCUAUGGGGACUCACCGUCUUACUGAUCCUAACCAAACUCCGAAUACCGGGGAGUACUACUCGGCAGACACACGGCGGGUGCUAACGUCCGUCGUGAAAAGGGCAACAACCCUGACCUCCAGCUAAGGUCCCCAAGUCAUGGCUAAGUGGGAAAGGAUGUGAGGAUCCCAAAACAACCAGGAUGUUGGCUUAGAAGCAGCCAUCAUUUAAAGAAAGCGUAACAGCUCACUGGUCUAAAUAAGGGUCUUUGCGCCGAAAAUGUAACGGGGCUGAAGCCAUGCACCGAAGCUGAGGAUGUGUAGCAAUACACGUGGUAGCGGAGCGUUCCGUAAGCCUGUGAAGGGACAGUCGUGAGACAUCCUGGAGGUAUCGGAAGUGCGAAUGUUGACAUGAGUAACGAUAAAGAGGGUGAGAGACCCUCUCGCCGAAAGACCAAGGGUUCCUGCUUAAAGUUAAUCUGAGCAGGGUUAGCCGGCCCCUAAGACGAGGCGGACACGCGUAGUCGAUGGGAACCACGUUAAUAUUCGUGGGCCUGGUGGUAGUGACGGAUUGCUCAACUUGUAAGGUCUUAUUGGAUUGAUCUUGCAGGGACGCGGUUCCAGGAAACAGCUCCACCGUAUAGACCGUACCCGAAACCGACACAGGUGGUCAGGUAGAGUAUACCAAGGCGCUUGAGAGAACUAUGUUGAAGGAACUCGGCAAAUUGCACGCGUAACUUCGGAAGAAGCGUGACCCCAUUUUGGGCAACCAGGAUGGGGUGGCACAGACCAGGGGUAGCGACUGUUUAUCAAAAACACAGGGCUCUGCGAAGUAGCAAUACGACGUAUAGGGUCUGACGCCUGCCCGGUGCUGGAAGGUUAAAGGGAGAGGUGCAAGCUUUGAACUGAAGCCCCAGUAAACGGCGGCCGUAACUAUAACGGUCCUAAGGUAGCGAAAUUCCUUGUCGGGUAAGUUCCGACCUGCACGAAUGGCGUAACGACUUCCCCGCUGUCUCCAACAUAGACUCAGUGAAAUUGAAUUCCCCGUGAAGAUGCGGGGUUCCUGCGGUCAGACGGAAAGACCCCGUGCACCUUUACUAUAGCUUUACACUGGCAUUCGUGUCGGCAUGUGUAGGAUAGGUGGUAGGCUUUGAAGCGGGGACGCCAGUUUCCGUGGAGCCAUCCUUGAAAUACCACCCUUAUCGUCAUGGAUGUCUAACCGCGGUCCGUUAUCCGGAUCCGGGACAGUGUAUGGUGGGUAGUUUGACUGGGGCGGUCGCCUCCGAAAGAGUAACGGAGGCGCGCGAUGGUGGGCUCAGACCGGUCGGAAAUCGGUCGUCGAGUGCAAUGGCAUAAGCCCGCCUGACUGCGAGACUGACAAGUCGAGCAGAGACGAAAGUCGGUCAUAGUGAUCCGGUGGUCCCGCGUGGAAGGGCCAUCGCUCAACGGAUAAAAGGUACGCCGGGGAUAACAGGCUGAUGACCCCCAAGAGUCCAUAUCGACGGGGUUGUUUGGCACCUCGAUGUCGGCUCAUCGCAUCCUGGGGCUGGAGCAGGUCCCAAGGGUUUGGCUGUUCGCCAAUUAAAGCGGUACGUGAGCUGGGUUCAGAACGUCGUGAGACAGUUCGGUCCCUAUCUGCCGUGGGUGUAGGAAUAUUGACAGGAUCUGUCCCUAGUACGAGAGGACCGGGAUGGACAUAUCUCUGGUGGACCUGUUGUCCUGCCAAGGGCAUAGCAGGGUAGCUACAUAUGGAAGGGAUAACCGCUGAAGGCAUCUAAGCGGGAAACCCACCUGAAAACGAGUGUUCCCUAUCAGAGCCGUGGAAGACGACCACGUUGAUAGGCCGGGUGUGGAAGUGCAGCAAUGCAUGAAGCUUACCGGUACUAAUAGCUCGAUCGGCUUGAUCGU